UGCCUGGCGGCAGUAGCGCGGUGGUCCCACCUGACCCCAUGCCGAACUCAGAAGUGAAACGCCGUAGCGCCGAUGGUAGUGUGGGGUCUCCCCAUGCGAGAGUAGGGAACUGCCAGGCUC
rnacentral:rRNA from 2 species